UUUAUGGAGAGUUUGAUCCUGGCUCAGGAUGAACGCUGGCGGCGUGCCUAAUACAUGCAAGUCGAGCGAACGGACGAGAAGCUUGCUUCUCUGAUGUUAGCGGCGGACGGGUGAGUAACACGUGGAUAACCUACCUAUAAGACUGGGAUAACUUCGGGAAACCGGAGCUAAUACCGGAUAAUAUUUUGAACCGCAUGGUUCAAAAGUGAAAGACGGUCUUGCUGUCACUUAUAGAUGGAUCCGCGCUGCAUUAGCUAGUUGGUAAGGUAACGGCUUACCAAGGCAACGAUGCAUAGCCGACCUGAGAGGGUGAUCGGCCACACUGGAACUGAGACACGGUCCAGACUCCUACGGGAGGCAGCAGUAGGGAAUCUUCCGCAAUGGGCGAAAGCCUGACGGAGCAACGCCGCGUGAGUGAUGAAGGUCUUCGGAUCGUAAAACUCUGUUAUUAGGGAAGAACAUAUGUGUAAGUAACUGUGCACAUCUUGACGGUACCUAAUCAGAAAGCCACGGCUAACUACGUGCCAGCAGCCGCGGUAAUACGUAGGUGGCAAGCGUUAUCCGGAAUUAUUGGGCGUAAAGCGCGCGUAGGCGGUUUUUUAAGUCUGAUGUGAAAGCCCACGGCUCAACCGUGGAGGGUCAUUGGAAACUGGAAAACUUGAGUGCAGAAGAGGAAAGUGGAAUUCCAUGUGUAGCGGUGAAAUGCGCAGAGAUAUGGAGGAACACCAGUGGCGAAGGCGACUUUCUGGUCUGUAACUGACGCUGAUGUGCGAAAGCGUGGGGAUCAAACAGGAUUAGAUACCCUGGUAGUCCACGCCGUAAACGAUGAGUGCUAAGUGUUAGGGGGGUUCCGCCCCUUAGUGCUGCAGCUAACGCAUUAAGCACUCCGCCUGGGGAGUACGACCGCAAGGUUGAAACUCAAAGGAAUUGACGGGGACCCGCACAAGCGGUGGAGCAUGUGGUUUAAUUCGAAGCAACGCGAAGAACCUUACCAAAUCUUGACAUCCUUUGAUAACUCUAGAGAUAGAGCUUUCC
rnacentral:rRNA from 1 species